rnacentral:rRNA from 1 species
UACGAAGGGGGCUAGCGUUGCUCGGAAUCACUGGGCGUAAAGAGCGCGUAGGCGGACUUUUAAGUCGGGGGUGAAAGCCCAGGGCUCAACCCUGGAAUUGCCUUCGAUACUGUUAGGCUUGAGACCGGAAGAGGUAAGUGGAACUGCGAGUGUAGAGGUGAAAUUCGUAGAUAUUCGCAAGAACACCAGUGGCGAAGGCGGCUUACUGGUCCGGUUCUGACGCUGAGACACGAAAGCGUGGGUAGCAAACAGG